CAGCCGCCACGGGAAUACGAGGGGGGCAAGCGCUGUUCGGAAUUAUUGGGCGUAAAGGGUGCGUAGGCGGUUUCGUAAGUCUGAUGUGAAAGCCCCCGGCUCAACCGGGGAGGGUCAUUGGAAACUGGGAAACUUGAGUGCAGAAGAGGAGAGUGGAAUUCCACGUGUAGCGGUGAAAUGCGUAGAGAUGUGGAGGAACACCAGUGGCGAAGGCGACUCUCUGGUCUGUAACUGACGCUGAGGAGCGAAAGCGUGGGGAGCGAACAGGAUUAGAUACCCCCGUAGUCCCUGUCUCUUAUAC
rnacentral:rRNA from 1 species